AAUUAAUAUUUAGUUUACUAAUAUUAACUCUAGGACAUAACACAAACAGUUAGCAGUAACUGUGACUGAGAUUACUAUAGCAGUCAUAAAAUAACUGGUUUCUUAAAUUAUUCUUGUAAAAAGAAGUUAUUAAUCAUUGCUAUCAUUGUAUAAUGUAGAAAAUAUUUCUCUGCUGUCAUUAUUUCCAAACAUGUUAUGCCAUUUAUGCAUCUAAACAUGUUAAUAAUGUUAGGUAUGAUGAAGAAUACACUUGUAUGUAUCUUUCGCAGUAACUGUUGCACUGUAGAAUAGUGGGUUAAGCAAAGGACAUUGUAUAUGUAGCCAGGCAAGGCCUACCAGUACGGGGGUGUGGUUGGCUAAUUAGUCCAAGACUUUUUAAGCAGGCACUGGGCAAGAGGCCUUGAAAUGUGGGCCUUGUUUUGAAAGCACAUGGGAUGGUGCUGCUUUGUUUGGCUAUGUGGUGAAUUUGCCCCAGAUGAGAUGCAGAUGAAUUGAGUAAUGCUAACUGGGUAUGUUGACCGCUGCCUGUGUAGGUGUUUUUGACACUCUGAUCUGGAUAAAGGUUCAAAAAACCAACUGAUUGUUAUAUCUGCUAUUUGCCAAUGAAGUGUUUUAGAUGUGGAUAAAACCUGGAAUGCUGAUUGGCUGCUUUUUGGGUAGCUGAUAAAGGUAAAGUUGUGUUUUUGGUAUCCUACUUUUAAGCUAAUAAAUGAAAUGGGGCAGUUGGUAACGGUGUUUAAGAAAAUGUUAAUGUUUGAAUAAAAUAAAUGAUGUAUUGUUAAUUUUUGUUUGUUUUUUCUGUUUUAGUUAAGUCGAUUGCUGUUUCUCCCGUGUUGUUUUUGUUUAGUUCCCUGGUCGGCCGGUCUCAGAAGUGUGCUGCAUGGUGGCAGCAAGUGUACAUUGUGAACUGUUUGUGUACGAGUCCGGUUGGCUGGGGUUCUGUUAUCUUUUUUUUCUUUUUGUUUCUUUUUUAUUGAUGACCAUCUUCCCAGCCUUAUGUCAUUAGCUCGACCCGUGCUUGUAUUCUGUGUGUGUAUCCCUUUGGGGUAUGGGAUCCAUGUUUGCUGUGGUUUUCUUUGAAGUUAUGAGUGAAGGGUUAUGUUUUGAGUUGUUUUCUAUUUGAAUUGUGGUGUUUAUUUCCAUUUUUUGGUUCUUUCUUUUUACUGUCAUCAAGAAAUUGAUGUUUCCUAAUACCUUGAAGGUUUUCCACACACAACAGAACCAGCUACUAUAGAGAGCUUUGAGCUGGUGGUUAACAUCUUUAAGAGCUGAGAUUAAUUUUGUAUUAAUUUAUUUAAAUAAAUCAUUUCAUGUCUGUUUAAUUGUGUACAUUAUUUUUGCCCUAUCAUUUGUAAUAAACCUUUUUUGUUGUACUUUGAGUAGUCCAAAGGGUUUUGACUUUGUGCCUGUGCAUUAAACAAGGUAUUCUCUUUCAAUUAAUUUUGAAGGGGUGGC